CUGAGCACUUUUCAUAGAAAUGAAUGCGGAAACCAUCUUGGAAGACAAAAGUAGCUGCCUCUAGUAACAUAGCUAACUCUAUGCCAUCAAUAGACCAUCAAUCACCAGUGGUCAGUGGUCUGGAGAACUUCUUGUUGUGAGCAACUUGAAAUGCAGCGUUUCUGCAAAUGUUGUUGUGUUUUGGACUAAUGCUGCGGUGUUCUCAGCUAAUACUGCUUUGUUCUCGGCUAAUGCUGCGGUGUUCUCGGCUAAUACUGCUGUGUUCUUUCUUGUGUUCUCGGCUGAUGUUGUGGUGUGAACCAAUGCUAUUGUGUCGUCACUCAAUGUUGUGGUGCUGAAAUUGCUGACUUUAUUGCCAGUGAGGAUGCCAGACUUUUGUGCAGCCUACGGAUGCUCUAAUCGCCGUUGUCUCGAAACGAAAACCCGUGGGAUCACCUUUCACCUGUUUCCCAAAACCGGAGAGAGGAGGAGGAAGUGGGAAGUUGCCCUAAGAAGGGACGGUUUUUCUGCCUCUGACAGGACACUGCUCUGCAGUGAGCACUUCAGGAGUGAGGACUUUGACAGGACGGGGCAGACUGUCCGGCUUAAAGAUGGUGUUGUGCCAACCAUUUUCAACUUUCCAGCUCAUCUUCAAAGGUCGGGAGCAACAAGAAGCACAACCACUUGUAGUAGAGUGGAUGACAACCUGCCAAUGGACUUGAUGCCUGAUGUUGGAGCCACUGGAGAGAGGAGAUUGGGGCACAAGCGGCAGGCCACUGACCACUUAUAUACAUUGCCUGCUUCCCCUGAGGCUAUAAAGGCCAAACUUGAAGAAGCCUCAGUGAGAGUGAGGAAACUGCAGCGGGAGAAGAGUAAUGCCCUGAGGAGAGAAAAGAGGGCCAAGAACAACAUGCAGGCUCUUGUGGAGGAACUGAAGGAGACACAUCUAAUCAACGAAGAGCUGAAAGACAAGCUUGAAUGCUACUAAGGUCCUCUCUGUCCUGGGCUACAUCAUAAACAUUGACACGUUGAUGUCGAUGGUUCCUGUGCUGAUUGAAGGACAGCGAUAUGUCCUGACCUACAGAUUCAGCCAGGACCACUUGGAACUUCUCUUUAACUCCAUCAGAGCAUCCGGUGGCUGGAAUAAGAACCCUAAUGCCAGACAGUUCAAGUACAUCUUUAGAAAGCUGAUGGCCCGGUGUGGAGUUGUUAAACCAUGCAGAGGCAAUGUGACAGCACAGGAUGAGGCAGAGUCCCUACCAGCGGUCAUCGACACCUCUACAGGCCUAUCAGCUGUAGAUAUGUCCUCUGCAGCAGGAGGAGAAGAUCUUCCAUCCCCGUUUGCUGACAUUCCUGCCCAAGUUCAUGACCACAGCUACCUUCCCUCCUGUGAUGUCUGCCAUGCCAGCCUGGUGACAGAUGCUGCAUCUGCCAUCAAGGACCAGAGCUACCACCUGCUGUCUCUAAAAAAAAUGGAGGCCUGGUGAUUCCAUCAGAGGGCACAAUGAGGGUCGUCAGGGCAGCAGAGUGGCUCAUUCGCCAGGCAUCAUCAAGUUUCAGACGAUCACAGCCCAUCAAACUGCUAGAGGUCAUGUACAUUGUACGGAAGAGGAUCGGGUCAGAGGAUGUGUUUGUGCUCGGGGAGCACAUCGGCGACACGCAGUAUGGCAUAGACAGCCACCACCAUACGCUGCAAACAUUAAUUGUGUCCCUGUUUUUUAAGCUAAGGCUAAACCACAUCGCUAAAAUGACUACACUUAGCUUACAGAGUAACAACAUGCGACAGAAGCUCAAUAAAACAGUCCUUUUCAAAUGGCAUUAUCCCAA